AUGGGCACACAAUGAUCUAUACUUGAUAAAUAUUAUCGUCCUAUUAAUAACUUAUCAUUUGGUCACGAAGAACGUUUAAGAACUAUACGAUAAAUCCUUCUUUAUCGAUGAGAAGUAGUUCUAAGGAUUUCAUCAUAACAUAAAAGUUCAAUAAGAAAAAUACAAAAUUUAUGAUAAAUUUGUCAAAAAAAUUUUUAUUAAUUUAUAAUUUAUAUAUAAUUUACAAAGAGCGCAAUCAUCUACAAAUAGGCAAUUGACUUUAGCAUACAAUUCCUAAUAUGUGGUAGAUGGAUUGAAUGAUACAUGGA
rnacentral:lncRNA from 1 species